GUCCUGAAGGAAACAGAGCAGAACACCACAUCAGCAGCCAGGCAAACCCCAGCAACUGAGAGGAUGAGGCAGGAGCAUGGACUGCAUCAAGUUCAAGCCCAUCCUGGGCUAUAGCAAGACUGUCUUCAAAAGCCAAAUGAAAGGAGCUGGGGAGAUGGUUCAGUGGACAAAAUGCUUGUGCAAACCUGAGGACGGAAUUUGCAGAAGCUCAGUGACUUCAUAGCUGAAAUCUCAACCGAGAGCUGAAAACUGAAGCCCCAUUUCCCUCCGCAGCCCAGGCCCCUUCUCCAGCUCUGGGCAAACAGCUUUCCCUCUGUUGGGAAGAGCGCUUGCCUGUCAACAGAGCUUGGGACCACUUCAGGAACAUCAUGGGAAAAUAGCCUUCCGACCCAGAUCAAGCUGCGUGAGCUGAGAACCACAGUGUGACUUCGGCUGCAUCACGAGACAUCACAUGUGCCUAUACUCAAGGAACCUAAGUUACAGGAAACCAAGGCUCAAAUGCCUUUAACUCCCUGUGUGGCACCAACACCAGUGAAGGACGCUGUGCUGUGGUGUGAAUGUAUUUGGUCAUGGACCAGAGGAGGAGACAAAUACAGCCAAGUUCAGGCGGGUCUGGGUGGGUUUCCCAGAGCACCUUCCACAUCCAGCCAUAGGUAAGAACGGCGUGGCUCACCUCCCACAGAUGGCCCACAAUGGGCGCG